GUCGGUUUCGCGCGCUUCGCCAAAUUGCAACGACGACGCGGAAAUUUUUUGGCCGCUUUUGAAUUGUGGAUUGAUUGUUGACCUGACAGAUUGUGGUGUUCGUCUCACCUAUAUGCGUCAAGGCGCUUUUUACACUUGGCCCCUGGGCGAAGAGCAUAUUUAUCAUCAUCCGCUCUGUGACGUCAAACAGAAGCUCAGUGCUCCUGAACCGGUGUUGAUAGGCUCCAGAAUGGUUUUUAAUUUUAAGAAGUGAACAACAUGAACACAAAAAUAUUACAAAUCACACGAUUAUGAGUGGUUGUGUUUUAUUUGGAUAUCCAACAUAUUAACAUUUAGUUUCUUGACUCAAACUUUAAGGCCUUGCAAUGAAAGAUGUAACAGAGAUACGGUGUCCUUGUUACGUGGGUAACAUCUAUAUGAGCAACAAAUUUAAUCCAUUUCCUGAUCGUGCAGCAUUACAAUUGUUCAUAGUUGUGUUGCUCAUUUCUGCUCUUCUCUGCAGAAGCCAAAAUAAGUGCUGUCAUGGAGUGAGUCUUGAGAAAACAGGAAUAUUGCUAAGGAGAGGGAUUUUUUUGCAUAUCAUUUAACUUCACCAUAUACAGUAGAUUGUUUUCCCACUGAAUUUAUAUAAUUAAAAUGUAAGAAUUUCCA